AGCAUGAUUGGUUAAUCUGUCUGUUUUCCAGGAAACUGUCCAAUGAGAAUGUGCGCGGCUCUGCGCGCCUAUUUUAAAUUUGAAAAUAUGUCUGUUACUCUCGGUCGGAGCAGCUGCUUUGCGUUGAUUACUCGGUCAGACCUGGAUUAUUUUAUAUCUGCCUGUUGAAUUCUCACAUUGAGCGAAUUUUAGUUGAUAUGUCAAUGAAGAACAAAAGCUGGAAUGUGAACAGAGGAAGGGGUCGUACGUGGUCUGUAAAGACUGGCAAUAUCAGGUAAGAAAACAUUUUUCAGUCCUUAACAGUCUAACGUUAACGUUUAGGGACUCGGGUAACUUAACUGUCAUCUUAACGUUACUGCAACCUCAUAAGAUAAAUAAGUUAUCUCUGUGUGGGUUUUUGUACUGCUUCACUAUUAGCGUAGCGAUAUUAGCAUGUAACGUUAUUUCAUGUGUUAGUACCAUCUGACAUUGCUGUGUUUCGUUGUUGGUAAGUUAACGUUAUGUGUUUAUGUUGUCAGCUAACUAAAACUCAAACGCAUGAGAGGUAAAAAAGCGUGUGAAUGUGUAAAGUGAUAAAACCGUCAUUUAUUCUUUAGAAUUAUGUUUACAUAACCUCUUCAAACACUGAUAACGAUAUUGAAAAGAUAUUUGUUUACUCUUUAUUUAUUUAUUUUUUUAUUUUUUUUUUAGAUCAAGCAUUGGAAUAAGAUUUUUAUUGGGGGAGAACACCCAACAGAAAGACCCAUGAUUCACCAACUGGCGCACUGAAAGGGGAGAUUCAUGUCACCUUCAUUAGUCCUUUCUUUAAUCACUGGACACCAUUAAGGGAAAGACCCUCAGACGUGUCAUAAUAGGAUAAAUGCGGCUGCAGGUAAAAUUAUUUGAUGGGGUCAGGGUUAUUUGAUUUUGGUGUUCCAAUUGGCUUUUUUUGUGUGCUUCCCUUGCUAUGAUACACAUUUCUGAUGGGAUUGCCAUGCUUUAAAGGGUUAGUUCAGCCAAAAAUCAAAAUUAUGUUA